rnacentral:rRNA from 1 species
UACGUAGGGGGCUAGCGUUGUCCGGAAUCAUUGGGCGUAAAGCGCGUGUAGGCGGUCCGGUAAGUCCGCUGUGAAAGCCAGGGGCUCAACCCUUGGAUGCCGGUGGAUACUGUCGGGCUCGAGUACGGAAGAGGCGAGUGGAAUUCCUGGUGUAGCGGUGAAAUGCGCAGAUAUCAGGAGGAACACCAAUUGCGAAGGCAGCUCGCUGGGACGUUACUGACGCUGAGACGCGAAAGCUAGGGGAGCGAAUGGG